CCAAGCGCCUACUGGCGAAGAGGAUUUGCCACUACAGUGCGAAAAAGAUAUACCCCAACGACACCACUAUGCCCUUCGAGAAAGAAAAAAGGUCUCUUCAGAGGAAAUUACCUGUGCAAGGAGUCCUGGCUGGAUCUGAAGAGGCUGAGCCCCUGGAGCCUGAGUGACUAUUGGAACGGCGUUCUCCAUCCUCACAGAAUACCCAGCAUGCUUCGAAGGCGAGGCUUGUAACCCUAGUCCAUAAGGAGAAAAAGUACAGAUUUAGCCAUCAGCAGCUGCUCAUGGACCGGACCACUGAUUUUGAGAGCACUAACCCUGGCCCUGUGUGCAGACCCCCAUAGCAGCACAUGAAAAUUGGGAGCCACCUGGACAGG